UACGUAGGGAGCAAGCGUUGUCCGGAAUCAUUGGGCGUAAAGCGCGCGUAGGCGGCCCUGUAAGUCCGCUGUGAAAGUCAAAGGCUCAACCUUUGAAAGCCGGUGGAUACUGCAGGGCUAGAGUCCGGAAGAGGCGAGUGGAAUUCCUGGUGUAGCGGUGAAAUGCGCAGAUAUCAGGAGGAACACCGGUGGCGAAGGCGGAUCUCUGGGCCUGUUCUGACGCUGAGGCGCGAAAGCCAGGGGAGCAAACGGG
rnacentral:rRNA from 1 species